rnacentral:rRNA from 1 species
UGGGGAAUAUUGCACAAUGGGCGGAAGCCUGAUGCAGCGACGCCGCGUGGGGGAUGAAGGCCUUCGGGUUGUAAACUCCUUUCGACAGGGACGAAGCUUUUGUGACGGUACCUGUAUAAGAAGCACCGGCUAACUACGUGCCAGCAGCCGCGGUAAUACGUAGGGUGCAAGCGUUGUCCGGAAUUACUGGGCGUAAAGAGCUCGUAGGUGGUUUGUCGCGUCGUCUGUGAAAUUCCGGGGCUUAACUCCGGGCGUGCAGGCGAUACGGGCUGACUUGAGUGCUGUAGGGGAGACUGGAAUUCCUGGUGUAGCGGUGAAAUGCGCAGAUAUCAGGAGGAACACCGAUGGCGAAGGCAGGUCUCUGGGCAGUAACUGACGCUGAGGAGCGAAAGCAUGGGUAGCGAACAGG